GCCCUUACCGGUGGGAGCCUCGGAGCGGGCGCGGUGCGGGGUCCCGGCGCCGCUUCGGGGGUCGCGGCGUGCGGAGGGGACUCGCUGCUGCCGCAGCCCCGGGUCCCGCCGCCCGCACGGGAGGGAAACAAAAGAUCCAUGCCUGAAUUAUUUCAUCUCCUGAAAACUUCCCGUUGGAAAGAACCAUCUGCAGAGUCUCUCAUGAGCCAAGAAAGUUCCACUUGAAGUUGAGAUCUCAUUUGGAGACUCUAUCCAAUGGGAAUAGCUCAGCAGCCCUGUGGAGGAGGUGCUUCUCACAGCAACAGGAGGAGCGUUGCGGAGCCAGACCAAGUCUGCUUCUCGGAGAACAACAUAUAAGGUACUUGAAAAACUGACAUUGCUAGUGCUGAUACAAAUAUUUUGCGUCGUCUUAUUUUAUUUUGGUAACCGAAUAUUAACAGGAACAGCAGCGGCAAGAUUUCAGUUUUCCUUAAAAUAAAUAUUUCUGGGAAAGCACAGACCUUAGUUAUGGGCUGUUGUCUGCCUGUAAACGUAUCGGGAUGUUUCUUGCCAAAGACAACUCAAGCAUCAAAAUCCAGAACCACUGAAGUGCCUUCUUCACAGCCCAUCAGGCGCUGACCCACAAGGUUAAUUUGUUAGAGUGGAAAUGGAUUUUUUCCAAAUGUAGAGGAACGUGCAUUUACCAAGGCUCUUACUUUACAUUUUCAAAAUAGAAGUAGAAUUGCACGUAGCCCUGGGCCAAGGCCACAUGAAUCCUUUCCUUUUUCUGCCAUUGAAGAAGUAGCUGCCAACUUUUCCCACCUGAUGAGAAACAAACCUUUCUUGAGAAUUUGUUACUUGUGCCUUUUUGUGUGCGCGUGCUGGAUCUAAAACCGCAUUUGAUGAGAAAAUGUGAACAGCAGGAAUUUUAAUCCAUGCUCUUGCAAAAAUUGUUGCUUUUCCU